GACAGAGGGUGCCAACGUUGCUCGGAAUUACUGGGCGUAAAGCGCGUGUAGGUGGCUUGUUAAGUCGGGUGUGAAAUCCCUCGGCUCAACCGAGGAAGUGCAUUCGAUACUGGCAAGCUCGAGUACCGGAGAGGGUCGUGGAAUUCCUGGUGUAGAGGUGAAAUUCGUAGAUAUCAGGAGGAACACCGGCGGCGAAGGCGGCGACCUGGACGAGUACUGACACUCAGACGCGAAAGCGUGGGGAGCAAACAGG
rnacentral:rRNA from 1 species